AUUGAACGCUGGCGGCAUGCUUUACACAUGCAAGUCGAACGGCAGCGCGGGGCAACCUGGCGGCGAGUGGCGAACGGGUGAGUAAUACAUCGGAACGUACCCAGAAGUGGGGGAUAACGUAGCGAAAGUUACGCUAAUACCGCAUACGUUCUACGGAAGAAAGUGGGGGAUCUUCGGACCUCAUGCUUUUGGAGCGGCCGAUGUCUGAUUAGCUAGUUGGUGAGGUAAAGGCUCACCAAGGCGACGAUCAGUAGCUGGUCUGAGAGGACGACCAGCCAAACUGGGACUGAGACACGGCCCAGACUCCUACGGAAGGCAGCAGUGGGGAAUUUUGGACAAUGGGCGCAAGCCUGAUCCAGCAAUGCCGCGUGAGUGAAGAAGGCCUUCGGGUUGUAAAGCUCUUUUGUCAGGGAAGAAACGGUUGGGGCUAAUAUCCCCGGCUAAUGACGGUACCUGAAGAAUAAGCACCGGCUAACUACGUGCCAGCAGCCGCAGUAACAC
rnacentral:rRNA from 1 species